UACGAAUGGAGCGAGCGUUGUUCGGAAUCACUGGGCGUAAAGCGUGCGCAGGCGGUCUUGAAAGUCAGGAGUGAAAUCCCAGGGCUUAACCCUGGAAUUGCUCUUGAAACUCCAAGACUGGAGUACUGGAGAGGUUGGCGGAAUUCCGAGUGUAGCAGUGAAAUGCGUAGAUAUUCGGAGGAACACCGAUGGCGUAGGCAGCCAACUGGACAGUUACUGACGCUCAUGCACGAAAGCGUGGGGAUCAAACAGGAUUAGAUACCCUGGUAGUCCACGCCCUAAACGAUGUGUGCUAGUUGUCGGGCCCUUUAGGGUUCGGUGACGCAGCUAACGCUUUAAGCACACCGCCUGGGGAGUACGGUCGCAAGAUUAAA
rnacentral:rRNA from 1 species